UUUCAAAAGCUGUAUUUUACAGAUUGGACCAAGAGACGUUUCUUUUAUGACUUAUUAUAUAAUCUAUAGCUAGGGUAAAUGAAGUCUAUUUAAAGUA
rnacentral:misc_RNA from 1 species